rnacentral:tRNA from 1 species
GCGGGUGUAGCUCAUUUGGUAGAGCGCGAGCUUCCCAAGCUCGAGGUCGCGGGUUCGACUCCCGUCGCCCGCU